rnacentral:rRNA from 1 species
AGAGUUUGAUCCUGGCUCAGGAUGAACGCUGGCGGCGUGCUUAACACAUGCAAGUCGAACGGGAAUGCUUCGCUGAUGCGAUUUCGGUCAAAUCUUGAAGCAUUUUAGUGGCGGACGGGUGAGUAACGCGUGGGUAACCUGCCCUGUACAGGGGGACAACAGUUGGAAACGACUGCUAAUACCGCAUAAGCGCACAGCUUCGCAUGAAGCAGUGUGAAAAACUCCGGUGGUACAGGAUGGACCCGCGUCUGAUUAGCUAGUUGGUAAGGUAACGGCUUACCAAGGCGACGAUCAGUAGCCGGACUGAGAGGUUGAUCGGCCACAUUGGGACUGAGACACGGCCCAGACUCCUACGGGAGGCAGCAGUGGGGAAUAUUGCACAAUGGAGGAAACUCUGAUGCAGCGAUGCCGCGUGAGGGAAGAAGGUUUUAGGAUUGUAAACCUCUGUCUUCAGGGACGAAAAAAGACGGUACCUGAGGAGGAAGCUCCGGCUAACUACGUGCCAGCAGCCGCGGUAAUACGUAGGGAGCGAGCGUUGUCCGGAAUUACUGGGUGUAAAGGGAGCGUAGGCGGGAUCGCAAGUCAGAUGUGAAAACUAUGGGCUUAACCCAUAAACUGCAUUUGAAACUGUGGUUCUUGAGUGAAGUAGAGGUAAGCGGAAUUCCUAGUGUAGCGGUGAAAUGCGUAGAUGUUAGGAGGAACAUCAGUGGCGAAGGCGGCUUACUGGGCUUUAACUGACGCUGAGGCUCGAAAGCGUGGGGAGCAAACAGGAUUAGAUACCCUGGUAGUCCACGCCGUAAACGAUGAUUACUAGGUGUGGGGGGACUGACCCCUUCCGUGCCGCAGCAAACGCAAUAAGUAAUCCACCUGGGGAGUACGACCGCAAGGUUGAAACUCAAAGGAAUUGACGGGGGCCCGCACAAGCAGUGGAGUAUGUGGAUUAAUUCGAAGCGACGCGAAGAACCUUACCAGGUCUUGACAUCGUAUGCAUAGCUCAGAGAUGAGUGAAAUCUCUUCGGAGACAUAUAGACAGGUGGUGCAUGGUUGUCGUCAGCUCGUGUCGUGAGAUGUUGGGUUAAGUCCCGCAACGAGCGCAACCCUUACUGUUAGUUGCUACGCAAGAGCACUCUAGCAGGACUGCCGUUGACAAAACGGAGGAAGGUGGGGAUGACGUCAAAUCAUCAUGCCCCUUAUGACCUGGGCCUCACACGUACUACAAUGGCUGUCAACAGAGGGAAGCAAAGCCGCGAGGUGGAGCGAACCCCUAAAAGCAGUCUUAGUUCGGAUUGUAGGCUGCAACCCGCCUACAUGAAGUCGGAAUUACUAGUAAUCGCAGAUCAGCAUGCUGCGGUGAAUACGUUCCCGGGCCUUGUACGCACCGCCCGUCACGCCAUGGGAGUCGGUAACACCCGAAGCCUGUAGUCUAACCGCAAGGAGGACGCAGUCGAAGGUGGGAUUGAUGACUGGGGUGAAGUCGUAACAAGGUA